UGCUGUGAACUCGAAGAGUAGGGCGGGACACGUGGUAUCCUGUCUGAAUAUGGGGGGACCAUCCUCCAAGGCUAAAUACUCCUGACUGACCGAUAGUGAACCAGUACCGUGAGGGAAAGGCGAAAAGAACCCCGGCGAGGGGAGUGAAAAAGAACCUGAAACCGUGUACGUACAAGCAGUGGGAGCCUCUUUAUGGGGUGACUGCGUACCUUUUGUAUAAUGGGUCAGCGACUUAUAUUCUGUAGCAAGGUUAACCGUAUAGGGGAGCCGAAGGGAAACCGAGUCUUAACUGGGCGUUAAGUUGCAGGGUAUAGACCCGAAACCCGGUGAUCUAGCCAUGGGCAGGUUGAAGGUUGGGUAACACUAACUGGAGGACCGAACCGACUAAUGUUGAAAAAUUAGCGGAUGACCUGUGGCUGGGGGUGAAAGGCCAAUCAAACCGGGAGAUAGCUGGUUCUCCCCGAAAGCUAUUUAGGUAGCGCCUCGUGAACUCAUCUUCGGGGGUAGAGCACUGUUUCGGCUAGGGGGCCAUCCCGGCUUACCAACCCGAUGCAAACUACGAAUACCGAAGAAUGUUAUCACGGGAGACACACGGCGGGUGCUAACGUCCGUCGUGAAGAGGGAAACAACCCAGACCGCCAGCUAAGGUCCCAAAGUCAUGGUUAAGUGGGAAACGAUGUGGGAAGGCACAGACAGCCAGGAUGUUGGCUUAGAAGCAGCCAUCAUUUAAAGAAAGCGUAAUAGCUCACUGGUCGAGUCGGCCUGCGCGGAAGAUGUAACGGGGCUAAACCAUGCACCGAAGCUGCGGCAGCGACACUAUGUGUUGUUGGGUAGGGGAGCGUUCUGUAAGCCGUUGAAGGUGUGCUGUGAGGCAUGCUGGAGGUAUCAGAAGUGCGAAUGCUGACAUAAGUAACGAUAAAGCGGGUGAAAAGCCCGCUCGCCGGAAGACCAAGGGUUCCUGUCCAACGUUAAUCGGGGCAGGGUGAGUCGACCCCUAAGGCGAGGCCGAAAGGCGUAGUCGAUGGGAAACAGGUUAAUAUUCCUGUACUUGGUGUUACUGCGAAGGGGGGACGGAGAAGGCUAUGUCAGCCGGGCGACGGUUGUCCCGGUUUAAGCAUGUAGGCGGAGGUUCCAGGUAAAUCCGGUACCUUGUUAACGCUGAGGUGUGAUGACGAGGCACUACGGUGCUGAAGUGAUAAAUGCCCUGCUUCCAGGAAAAGCCUCUAAGCAUCAGGUAACACGAAAUCGUACCCCAAACCGACACAGGUGGUCAGGUAGAGAAUACCAAGGCGCUUGAGAGAACUCGGGUGAAGGAACUAGGCAAAAUGGUGCCGUAACUUCGGGAGAAGGCACGCUGAUGUGUAGGUGAAGCCCCUGCGGGUGGAGCUGAAAUCAGUCGAAGAUACCAGCUGGCUGCAACUGUUUAUUAAAAACACAGCACUGUGCAAACACGAAAGUGGACGUAUACGGUGUGACGCCUGCCCGGUGCCGGAAGGUUAAUUGAUGGGGUUAGCGGCAACGCGAAGCUCUUGAUCGAAGCCCCGGUAAACGGCGGCCGUAACUAUAACGGUCCUAAGGUAGCGAAAUUCCUUGUCGGGU
rnacentral:rRNA from 1 species